CCUACGGGUGGCAGCAGUGGGGAAUAUUGCGCAAUGGGCGAAAGCCUGACGCAGCGACGCCGCGUGAGGGAUGAAGGUCUUCGGAUCGUUAACCUCUGUCAGCAGGGAAGAACGGUCACUGUGCUAAUCCGCAGUGAAUUGACGUUACCUGCAAGGGAAGCACCGGCUAACUCCGUGCCAGCCGCCGCGGUAAUACGGAGGGUGCGAGCGUUAAUCGGAAUUACUGGGAGUAAAGCGCUCGUAGGCGGUAUGUCAAGUCAAGGGUGAAAUCCCCGCGCUCAACGUGGGAAUUGCCUUUGAAACUGGCAGACUGGAGUGUGUGAGAGGUAUGUGGAAUUCGAGGUGUAGGAGUGAAAUGCGUAGAUAUCUGGAGGAACAUCAGUGGCGAAGGCGACUAUCUGGCACAUAACUGACGCUGAGGAGCGAAAGCGUGGGUAGCAAACAGGAUUAGAUACCCGGGUAGUC
rnacentral:rRNA from 1 species